GAUUCGAACAUUAUUAUCCCUCUACUGCUGGGAUAUUAAAGGGUGCUGAUGACUUCAUCAUUUAUCAGUAUUUGUGAACCAUCUGUUGAAGCGUUAGCACAUCACUUCAGCUGCUCCAUCAUACUCCAUUCUGUAUCGUCCAACAAACCCACAGAGGACAGCGGUUCAAGGUUUAUGGUAGACACUGUCCCUGAUAAAACUGCUAACACCAUCCAUCUCAUCAAACAUGGAGGCGUGUAUCUAAUCUCCUAGCCUCAAGGCAGACCUGGAGGCCAGAUGGCCGCACCCUUCCUUCCCCUCAGGCCAGGCUGGAGCAAUUACUACUGCUGCUUCACACACAGACCUGUGUCACCAACGCAAUUAACAAGCUCCGGAGGAGUCUGGGCAACCAGAGAGGGACAGACUGUGUACACAGCAUGAAUGAUGAGAGGAACGAGAAAGGACGCAUCAGGUGCGCAUGUGUGUGUGUCUGAAGAGACCAGAGGAAAAGAUGAAUAAGAGAGUGCAUUUACUGUGAGAGAAGCAAUACAUUCUCCUUAAAGGUACGUGCCAAUUGGGCGAGGGUGGAGGUGUGGGUCUCUGCAAACGCACAUCCUAACAAAUACUUAGAAAAGCACACACAUAUAAAUAUACCACACAGUGUGCACGUGCAAGAUACAUUUCAGCACAGUGUGCAGCCUGUUAUUAGAGAAAUUUCCUAUUUCUCUUGCCGCUAUUGCACGCUAAUAAACAGAAUCAUUAGGGCAUGUUAUGGUGGGUUGGUGAGUGGCGGAGUUGCUCCAUUACUGGGAAACCCACAGACUCUGCCUUUUAAAAUGACGGCAGAGAAACAGGCUCCUUUAAUGGCGGCAAUCAAAGCUUCAUCCCCACCACUAGCAAGCCUGUCACGUAACUAAUUCAAUCUCACAACCCAUGAAGCAAUUAAUUCAUGUCAAUACAAAUACACAAACAGCUUUUUUUCUUCUUGCCCCAUAAGGAAAGUGGAGGUCUUAAGACUGAGCUUCUGUUUAUUCGCACACCUUUGUGACGGUGUGUGAUCAUGCUCGGUGAAGUGUACGUGGAAGAGCAGGUGUAAUUGGGUGUGGAAAAAAAGAAACCUCGUGGUCUCCCAGCUAAAUGAGAUCCGACAAUCUUUUCCUCUGCAUUUCCUCCCCUGACAACGGGCACAUCGUCCCCCUCCCCUCCCUUCUCAGGUUUGUUAUUAUUGCUCCAUGACAUAAGCAACGCACAUGAAGGGAUAAUAAAACCAGCCUCCCUUUAAUAACACGGGAGCUUGUAUCUGGCUAUGCCCAUGCCUAACUAACUUAAAUCAAUUUAGCUGCAGACACUAAAACGCUCACAACAAAAGAGAAUCUCUAAAGGGGUUUAAGUGCUCUGGGGCUUUGACAGGAGGCAAUGGCUAUUAAAUGUUGGAAGAUCAAAAGUUAAACCCAUUAGAGAAUACCAAACUAGAUGUUAUCAUCUAGAUAGCAACCAGAGGCUAAAUGAGUUUGUCAGAGUCAAUGUCUCAGUGUUUUGUUUGAGUCAAUAUCUCAAUUAUGCUCUAAGAAAGCAUUCUUGGCUUGAUGAAGCAGCUCAGGGAGAAACAGGGUGUGAAGUGAACUGCGUCACACGGUAAAGUAAUGUGAGAAAGGAACACGAGUGACGGAGAGACAAAGCCUUUCAGAUCCAGGUUAGGAGUUGAUCAAAGUGGGUUCUAGCUCAUCUGAGACUGCAGGCAUGAAGCUAGUGUGCAUUUAAAUGCAUUUGUGGAGAAGCAGAGACCCUAAAGAGCUCUCCUGCUCCAUCACCCCCUCUUGUUUCCAAACCUCCCAUUCCCAGCACUAUCUGAAUGUGUUGCUGCUUUGAAUUUUAAUGGAAAAAAAUUCUCCACUUCCCGAAUUCCCUCUUUAGGGCAUUUCAUCUUGUUUCCUGUCUCUAUCUAUCAGUAAAAAGAAAAGUCUCACAUGCCUGUAAGGUUUUCUGAUAAUGGUGACUUGGUUGACUGAUGACCUUCAUAUAUUUCUAGAGUUUUGCAAGAGAUAAAAACAAUGGCUCUUAAAGUGGAGAUACGAAUGUCAUCAUCUGCAUCCAAUCUAAGAAACAAGCAGUUUAUUCAUAGAUUUAAGACAAAAAUAGACAAAUAAAAACAAGUGAAAACAUCAGAUAGCCAGACUCCUGUGUGCUGUUAUACUAGGGAAAAAAAAGCGCUUUCAGUUUUUUCAAUAGGCUGUUGACACACCAACAUUUCCCUUGGGAAGGUAUACACUCAGUGCAUCUUAGUGUAGUGCCACAGUGGUGAAGUCAUGUUGUUGUCAAACUUGUCCCACAUAUUAUGGGUGACACAGCUUUCAAUUCUGGAUUUAAGGCAACAGAAUCAAUCACAUUAAAAACAAACUGCUGAUACAGACAGACUCGUGGCAGUACAUCAUAAAUGAAAGGUAUGGAUGAGCAGGUCAAGGUAGGAGGUGCAUACACUUGUCUGGACUGUAAUCUGUCACUCGGUGCAGAUUGGCCAGGAGUAAUGAGCCUUUACAUUACAGUACAUAAAAGGUGAUAACUGCUGGAGAGCUGUUUUGCGCAAAAUGUGGUUCAAUUUUCACCUAACAAAGAGUCAGCAACAUUCACCGAUCGAUAGAUGUCAAAAUGUCCCCCCACCUUUGAUAAUAAAUCUGACAAGCACAUGAGGAAGUGGCACAAAUCUA